UGAGGAAUAUUGGUCAAUGGGCGGGAGCCUGAACCAGCCAAGUCGCGUGAGGGAAGACGGUCCUAUGGAUUGUAAACCUCUUUUGUCGGGGAGCAAAGAGGCCACGUGUGGUCAAAAGCGAGAGUACCCGAAGAAAAGCAUCGGCUAACUCCGUGCCAGCAGCCGCGGUAAUACGGAGGAUGCGAGCGUUAUCCGGAUUUAUUGGGUUUAAAGGGUGCGUAGGCGGGACGGUAAGUCAGCGGUAAAAAGUGCGGAGCUCAACUCCGUCGAGCCGUUGAAACUGCCGUUCUUGAGUGAGCGAGAAGUAUGCGGAAUGCGUGGUGUAGCGGUGAAAUGCAUAGAUAUCACGCAGAACUCCGAUUGCGAAGGCAGCAUACCGGCGCUCAACUGACGCUGAAGCACGAAGGCGUGGGUAUCGAACAGGAUUAGAUACC
rnacentral:rRNA from 1 species